rnacentral:rRNA from 1 species
UACAGAGGUCCCAAGCAUUGUUCGGAUUCACUGGGCGUAAAGGGUGCGCAGGCGGUCGAUCAAGUCGAGUGUGAAAGCCCCCGGCUCAACUGGGGAGGGUCAUUCGAUACUGAUCGACUCGAAGGCAGGAGAGGGUAGUGGAAUUCCCGGUGUAGUGGUGAAAUGCGUAGAUAUCGGGAGGAACACCAGUGGCGAAGGCGACUACCUGGCCUGUUCUUGACGCUGAGGCGCGAAAGCUA